rnacentral:rRNA from 1 species
GGGGAAUCUUGCGCAAUGGGCGAAAGCCUGACGCAGCAACGCCGCGUGAGCGAAGACGGCCUUCGGGUUGUAAAGCUCUGUCAGGAGGGACGAAGCCACUCGGGUGAAUAGCCCAGAGGGUGACGGUACCUCCAGAGGAAGCCCCGGCUAACUACGUGCCAGCAGCCGCGGUAAUACGUAGGGGGCGAGCGUUGUCCGGAAUCAUUGGGCGUAAAGCGCGUGUAGGCGGCUUGGCAAGUCCGAUGUGAAAGCUCGAGGCUCAACCUCGAGUCUGCAUUGGAAACUGCCUUGCUAGAGUCCGGAAGAGGGGACUGGAAUUCCUGGUGUAGCGGUGAAAUGCGCAGAUAUCAGGAAGAACACCGGUGGCGAAGGCGGGUCCCUGGGACGGUACUGACGCUGAGACGCGAAAGCGUGGGGAGCAAAC